GACGAACGCUGGCGGCGUGCUUAACACAUGCAAGUCGAACGGAAAGGCCCUGCUUUUGUGGGGUGCUCGAGUGGCGAACGGGUGAGUAACACGUGAGUAACCUGCCCUUGACUUUGGGAUAACUUCAGGAAACUGGGGCUAAUACCGGAUAGGAGCUCCUGCUGCAUGGUGGGGGCUGGAAAGUUUCGGCGGUUGGGGAUGGACUCGCGGCUUAUCAGCUUGUUGGUGGGGUAGUGGCUUACCAAGGCUUUGACGGGUAGCCGGCCUGAGAGGGUGACCGGCCACAUUGGGACUGAGAUACGGCCCAGACUCCUACGGGAGGCAGCAGUGGGGAAUAUUGCACAAUGGGCGGAGCCCUGAUGCAGCAACGCCGCGUGCGGGAUGACGGCCUUCGGGUUGUAAUCCGCUUUCGCCUGUGACGAAGCGUGAGUGACGGUAAUGGGUAAAGAAGCACCGGCUAACUACGUG
rnacentral:rRNA from 1 species